GAUGAACGCUGGCGGUGUGCCUAAUACAUGCAAGUCGUACGCAUUCCCGUUUUUUGAUUGAAGGUGCUUACACCUGAUUGAUAAAAACAUCGGAAUGAGUGGCGGACGGGUGAGUAACACGUGGGUAACCUGCCCAGAAGUGGGGGGAUAACAUUUGGAAACAGAUGCUAAUACCGCAUAAUAGAUAGAACCACAUGGUUCUAUUUUGUAAAGAAUGGCCUUUGUGCUAUC
rnacentral:rRNA from 1 species